rnacentral:lncRNA from 1 species
AUUUUUGACAAAUCUCUUGAGACAGGCAAAGUACCAUCAGACUGGAACCAUGCAAACGUUACACCAGUAUUUAAAAAAGGAGACAAACAUCAUCCUGGUAAUUAUAGACCAAUCUCUCUUACCUGUAUCUCAUGUAAAUUACUUGAACAUAUACUAGCUAGCAAUAUGAUGAAACAUCUUGAAGCAAAUAACAUCCUAUAUGAACUACAACACGGAUUUAGAGCAAAAAGAUCUUGCGAAUCUCAAGUAAUAUCUCUUAUACACCAACUAGCUCAAAACAACGAUAAAAAUAUACAAACUGACUUAGUUAUCAUGGAUUUUGCCAAAGCAUUCGACAAAGUGCCACACAAACGCUUACUUUUCAAAUUAAAACACUACGGCAUCACUGAUCAGGCAAUAAACUGGAUCCAAUCAUUUUUAUCUAACAGAACUCAAACAGUCCUUCUCGAAAACACGACAUCUGAAAAAAUUCCAGUAACAUUAGGCGUUCCUCAGUGCACUGUACUAGGACCAAUACUCUUUCUUAUCUACAUCAAUGAUUUACCUGACUACCUUAAACACAGCCAAAUAAGACUCUUUGCAGACGACAGCAUUAUCUACCGGCCUAUUACCUGCCAAAACGAUUGUUAAGCUUCAGAAGACAUAGAAGCAGCUAUUAAAUGGGAACACGACUGGCUCAUGUCAUUCCACCCUGACAAAUGUAACAUCUUAAGAGUCUCAACAAAGAAAAAACAAAUACACUUCUAUUACAACAUGCACGGUCAUAUCCUAGAACAAGUACAAUCAGCUAAAUAUCUAGGCAUUACAAUCUCUUCAGAUCUCAAAUGGAACAAACAUAUACAACAAUCAGCAGCAAAAGCAAAUCAAUCUUUAUCUUUCGUCAGACGCAAUCUAAAAAUUAGUUCAAAAUUAGUGAAAGAAAGAGCAUAUCAAACUAUAGUAAGACCAAAACUCGAAUACUGUUGUACCGUUUGGACCCAUACACAUCAGAAAAUAUAUACAGACUGGAACAAGUGCAAAGAAGAGCUGCACGAUAUACAUGCAACAGAUUUCACUACACCAGCAGUGUAUCUGAUAUGCUUCAAAAUCUGAAAUGGCAAACUCUACAAGAACGAAGGCUUAAAACCAGAUUACAAAUGUUCCACAAAGUAACGAAAUUGCUAUACCAUCACAAGAUAUUCUGAUAAAAAGCCAGUCCAAAACAAGAUCUACUCAUCAAUUAACAUUCAGACAGCUCCAAUGCAAUAAAGACAGUUUUAAAUUCUCAUUCUUUAGCCAAACAAUCAAAGACUGGAAUAAACUACCACCUGAAAUUUCAAACAAAACUUCUACAGACA